rnacentral:rRNA from 1 species
ACAACUCUACGGGGCCAGCAGUGGGGAAUAUUGGGCAAUGGGCGCAAGCCUGACCCAGCAACGCCGCGUGAAGGAAGAAGGCUUUCGGGUUGUAAACUUCUUUUCUCAGGGACGAAGCAAGUGACGGUACCUGAGGAAUAAGCCACGGCUAACUACGUGCCAGCAGCCGCGGUAAUACAUAGGGAGCAAGCGUUAUCCGGAUUUAUUGGGUGUAAAGGGUGCGUAGACGGGAAAUUAAGUUAGUUGUGAAAUCCCUCGGCUUAACUGAGGAACUGCAACUAAAACUGAUUUUCUUGAGUACUGGG